rnacentral:misc_RNA from 1 species
UUAAGUUCAGCGGGUAGUCCUACCUGAUUUGAGGUCAGAAUUUCAAGUUUGCUUGACCGCCACUCAUAAGGCAGGUCGUGGAGGGGCACAAAGAGGGGAACAUCUCGUUAAAGCGAGGAUAAUACAACGCCCAAUCGAGUUCGACCCACAGGCCCAACCGAUGCAUUUGAGGGGAGCCACCUCUCGGCAGCAAGCCCCCA